GCAGUUUCCCUAGAGUAGGUUACACAGGAAGGUGUCCAGGUGGGUCUUGGCUGGCUCUAUAGGAGGAAGGAGACCCCAUAGCCUCUCUGGGCAGCUUGUUCCAGUGCUCUGGUAACCCUCAGAGUAAAUGCUGAUGACUUUUAAAUCACCAAGCACUUUGUAUAUCAAAAUAAUGCUUCAGGUGUUCAACAAAAGUUAUAUGUUUUCAGCAAAUUCUGAAUCACACUCGCAAUUUGUUGUAGUUGAGCGCUUUCAUUUGAGAUCAGGUACUUUUUCAUGAUCUGGAAGAUAAUCCCGUAUAGCAGACAGAAAAAGCAAAGCUUCACGGUGUUGCAGAUGAUUUUUAAAAGAAAAUGGCCCUGAAUCUUCUGUUACACAUCUCUUCAGGUCUUGGUUGAUAUUAAUACUGUUUCAGC
rnacentral:lncRNA from 1 species